AAGACAUUAAGUUAAUUAGACUGCGGCACUUCAAAUGCUGAAGUAAACAGGGUGUUUAUGUCUUG
rnacentral:tRNA from 2 species